GGGGAAUAUUGGACAAUGGGCGCAAGCCUGAUCCAGCCAUGCCGCGUGAGGGAAGAAGGUUUUCGGAUUGUAAACCUCUGUCCUUGGUGACGAAACAAAUGACGGUAGCCAAGGAGGAAGCCCCGGCUAACUACGUGCCAGCAGCCGCGGUAAUACGUAGGGGGCGAGCGUUGUCCGGAAUUACUGGGCGUAAAGGGUGCGUAGGCGGUUGAUUAAGUUGGAUGUGAAAUACCCGGGCUUAACCUGGGGGGUGCAUUCAAAACUGGUCGACUAGAGUAUGGGAGAGGGAAGCGGAAUUCCUAGUGUAGCGGUGAAAUGCGUAGAUAUUAGGAGGAACACCAGUGGCGAAGGCGGCUUUCUGGACCAUAACUGACGCUGAAGCACGAAAGCGUGGGGAGCAAACA
rnacentral:rRNA from 1 species